rnacentral:rRNA from 1 species
UGGGGAAUUUUGGACAAUGGGCGAAAGCCUGAUCCAGCAAUGCCGCGUGUGUGAAGAAGGCCUUCGGGUUGUAAAGCACUUUUGUCCGGAAAGAAAUCCUUGGCUCUAAUACAGUCGGGGGAUGACGGUACCGGAAGAAUAAGCACCGGCUAACUACGUGCCAGCAGCCGCGGUAAUACGUAGGGUGCAAGCGUUAAUCGGAAUUACUGGGCGUAAAGCGUGCGCAGGCGGUUUGCUAAGACCGAUGUGAAAUCCCCGGGCUCAACCUGGGAACUGCAUUGGUGACUGGCAGGCUAGAGUAUGGCAGAGGGGGGUAGAAUUCCACGUGUAGCAGUGAAAUGCGUAGAGAUGUGGAGGAAUACCGAUGGCGAAGGCAGCCCCCCUGGGCCAAUACUGACGCUCAUGCACGAAAGCGUGGGGAGCAAACAGGAUUAGAUACCCUGGUAGUCCACGCCCUAAACGAUGUCAACUAGUUGUUGGGGAUUCAUUUCCUUAGUAACGUAGCUAACGCGUGAAGUUGACCGCCUGGGGAGUACGGUCGCAAGAUUAAAACUUAAAUGAAUUGACGGGGUCAUAGCUGUUUCU